rnacentral:rRNA from 1 species
AAUCAACGCUGGCGGCGUGCCUCAGACAUGCAAGUCGAACGCGAAAUCCCGAGCAAUCGGGAGAGUAGAGUGGCGCACGGGUGAGUAACACGUAGGUAAUCUACCUUCGGAUGGGGAAUAACAACCGGAAACGGUUGCUAAUACCGCAUAAUGCAGCGGCACCUAAUGGUGACAGUUGUUAAAGCGGGGGAUCGAAAGACCUCGCGUCUGAAGAGGAGCCUGCGGCGGAUUAGCUAGUUGGUAAGGUAAUGGCUUACCAAGGCAACGAUCCGUAACCGGCCUGAGAGGGCGGUCGGUCACACUGACACUGACAUACGGGUCAGACUCCUACGGGAGGCAGCAGUGGGGAAUAUUGGACAAUGGGCGCAAGCCUGAUCCAGCAAUGCCGCGUGAGUGAAGAAGGCCUUA